UCCACGGUAUCCUGGAGACCAAAGCAGGAGAAGCUGAGGGCCUUAGGGGAAGGUCUUCCUCCUUCAGCUGCAGGGAACAUGGCAGGGAACAGAGGAGUGACCCUGUUUGUCCUGCUGCUGUCUUGCUGGCAUGAAACCAAGCUCCAACCGAUCAAUACGACUUCAGGUCCAGCCACUGAAAUGCCAUCAAAUUUAAGAAUUCUGGACGACAACGUGGCUGGAGUAUUCGAUGAAAUUCUAGUCCAAGAGAUCUUGGAUCCAAGUAAUUCAUCAUUGCUUGUGACAUGAAGACUACUACCAAAAUCAACAAUGAGUAUGAAGAAAGAAAGCAAGUAUACAUUUUUUUAAACCUUUAAUUGCAUAUAUUCCUGGGUCUGUGGUGGUGAAGACACAAUCCCAUCAUUCUGCUUU